rnacentral:rRNA from 1 species
CCGGCAAAACCGAGACGGUGAGUACUAACCUCCGCCUCGUGGUGGUUCCUUCCUUCGGGUUGGUGUCGCCGCGUGGUGUUGGGACCGUAGCCGUAGUAGGUCAGCGCAGGGGUGACACGGAAUGGGAGCCGGCCGCGGAGGUGGUUUUCCGUGGUCAAGCACGCAGCCAGUCAUGUAGGCAAAUCCGCAUGGCAUGCAUGGCGAGGUGUGAUGAUGGGAGCCGUUAUGGCUCGAUAUCCGGUUGUCCAGGCCGUCGAGAAAAGCCUCGGCGUGAGGGCCAUGGCCGCCCGUACCCCAAACCGACACUGGUGGUCAGGUAGAGAAUACCAAGGCGAUCGAGCGAAUCCUGGUCAAGGAACUCGGCAAAUCACUCCCGUGCCUUCGGUAUAAGGGAGACCCACUGGGGUGAAGGACCUUGCGUCCGGAGCUUUGGUGGGUGGCACAGACCAGGGGGUAGCGACUGUUUACCAAAAACACAGGUGCAUGCGAAGGCGAAAGCCGCUGUAUAUGCACUGACGCCUGCCCGGUGCCGGAAGGUUAAGGGAUCCGUCAGUCCUUCGGGAUGAAGCGGUGAAUUCAAGCCCCGGUAAACGGCGGUGGUAACAAUAACCAUCCUAAGGUAGCGAAAUUCCUUGUCGGGUAAGUUCCGACCUGCACGAAUGGCGUAACGACUUCCCCACUGUCUCGACCAGGAGCUCGGCGAAAUUGCAGUACGAGUAAAGAUGCUCGUUAAGCGCAGAAGGACGAAAAGACCCCGGGACCUUUACUAUACCUUGGUAUUGGCGUUAGGCGCGGAUUGUGUAGCAUAGGCGGGAGGCUUCGAAGCGGGUGCGCCAGCAUUCGUGGAGCCGCAAGGUGAAAUACCGCUCUGUUCUCGUUUGACGUCUAACCUCGACAAGUCAUCCUUGUCAGGGACAGUGCCUGGCGGGUAGUUCAACUGGGGCGGUUGCCUCCCAAAGAGUAACGGAGGCGCUCAAAGGUCCGCUCAGCCCGGUUGGCAAUCGGGUGUCCAGUGUAAUCGCACAAGCGGGCUUGACUGCGAGGACGACGGUCCGAGCAGGGACGAAAGUCGGAGAUAGUGAUCCGGUGCCGGCGCACGGGCGCGGCAUCGCUCAACGGAUAAAAGGUACCCCGGGGAUAACAGGCUGAUCAUUCCCAAGAGUCCAUAUCGACGGGAUGGUUUGGCACCUCGAUGUCGGCUCGUCGCAUCCUGGGGCUGGAGCAGGUCCCAAGGGUUCGGCUGUUCGCCGAUUAAAGCGGCACGCGAGCUGGGUUCAGAACGUCGUGAGACAGUUUGGUCUCUAUCCUCUGCGCUCGUUGGAAUCCUGAGGAGGCCUGCCCAUAGUACGAGAGGACCUGGGUGGACGAACCUCUGGUAUGCCGGUUGUCGCGCCAGCGGCACGGCCGGUUGGCUACGUUCGGGAGGGAUAACCGCUGAAAGCAUCUAAGCGGGAAGCCUGCUCCAAGAUUAGGAUUCCAUGGAUCUUCGAGAUCCUGUAGCCCGCAUGUUGAACACGUGUUUGAUAGGCCGGAGGUGGAAGUCCCGUGAGGGGUGGAGCCGACCGGUACUAACGGGCGAUGGCGACACAAC